AUGCCCAUUUCUUCUAUUUUGUCUCGCUGGCCAUUCGCAGCUGACAGUACUGACAAGGCGCGAAGACGUGUAGUGGGUACGAUCAGCUGUGAGUGCAGAAUUAACAACCCAUAUGCUUCAGCGUAGUGUUAAGUUGUGGAGUUUCCCUAUGUAGAAUAGGUCCGGUCAAUAUUUCUUUAUAAUGCCGGAAAACUGUAGAUCCUGCACGUUGCGUGAUUCCAACAACAAUAAUAUCUACUCCUCGUCGUUUUCAAGUAACCUGAACAAUCAUAGGAAUUCCCCAGGCAGUACUUCGAGGAAUAUUCAAGUGAGCGCUAAGAUUCUCUUCGGAUCUGUGCAGGCUAUCAAUAAACUGAAAAACGAUGAAAAAUCAGCCAGAGAGAAUAAAAGGAUCUAGCGCACAAUCCAAACAACUGUACUGAUGGAACACCACCAAAAAUUGUUGAGGAUUUCUGUAGAAAUUACACUUUCGCACAAACAUUUAUUUAGGAAGAAAGAAACCAUAUCUUCCGUUUUUCACCUAUUGAUAUAGGAUAUGGAGUUCUUGAGAAAAUGCAGCCGUUACGGACUGGAAUUAAAAUAUGUGAUCUAUAUGAUCUGGGGAUCAAAAAACGUUAUUCAAAUUGAAGAUUUAUAGCAGCAGUUAUCUAAUUGUAUUAUGUUUUCAUAUUUAUUGGUAAUAUAAUUUAUAUUUAAUUCAGAAA